rnacentral:tRNA from 1 species
GGCUCGGUAGCUUAGUUGAUAAAGCACUAUUCUAGCGAAUAAGGGUCGUGAGUUCAAAUCUCACCUGAGCUG